AGCUUAUCAGUGAUGUCUCAAAAUAAAUGUCUGAACAAAUGAUAUCACAGUGAUUUUUCUAUAUAUCUUUACUGAGAUAAGCU